GUAGGGAAUAUUGCGCAAUGGACGAAAGUCUGACGCAGCGACGCCGCGUGAGUGAUGAAGGCCUUAGGGUCGUAAAGCUCUGUUGAAUGGGAAGAAAAAAAUGACGGUACAAUUCGAGGAAGGACCGGCUAACUUCGUGCCAGCAGCCGCGGUAAUACGAGGGGUCCUAGCGUUGUUCGGAUUCAUUGGGCGUAAAGGGGGUGUAGGUGGCCAUGUAAGUCAGGUGUGAAAGCCCCGGGCUCAACCCGGGAAGUGCACUUGAUACUGCGUGGCUUGAGUACCGAAGAGGGUAGUGGAAUUCCAGGUGUAGUGGUGAAAUACGUAGAUAUCUGGAGGAACACCGGUGGCGAAGGCGGCUACCUGGUCGAGUACUGACACUGAGACACGAAAGCAUGGGGAUCAAACAGGAUUAGAUACCCGGGUAGUCC
rnacentral:rRNA from 1 species